GCUUGCUAAAAAUGAAUAAGCCUAUUUUCUGAUGCCAGCUUUUAGUGGGGUAGAUCUAGCAUCCUAUGCUUUUCUUCCAUUGAAAGUUGAAACAGAAUUACAAACUAUCAAAAACACAAUGGCUAGACAACUACCAACAUAAAGCAGCUACAUACAUGACAACAGAUCAAGCAAUUGCACAUGUAGGCCAUGAAAAUGCUCCUAGAACUAGACAAAAACAGAUGAGUCAACAUGCAACAAAGAAGAAACUUGAGGGGAU
rnacentral:misc_RNA from 1 species